GGCUGUGAGGGCGAUCUGGCUGUGACAUCUGUCAUCCCAUUGAUCACCAGGGUUGAUUCGGCUGAUCUGGCUGGCUAGGCGGGUGUCCCCUUCCUCCCUCACCGCUCCAUGUGCAUCCCUCCCGAAGCUGGGCACUCGGUCGAAGAGGACGACCAUCCCCGAUAGAGGAGGACCGGUCUUCAGUCAAGGGUAUACAAGUAGCUACGCUCCCCUGCUAGAACCUCCAAACAAGCUCUGAAGAAAAAAAAUAUGUGUUAAGCUGAUUUUGCAAAAUAGUUACCUAUUCCUUCACACACACACAAAAGAAAGAGUUGGCUGUUGU
rnacentral:snRNA from 1 species